GUUUCCGUAGUGUAGUGGUUAUCACGUGUGCUUCACACGCACAAGGUCCUCGGUUCGAACCCGGGCGGAAACA